UACGAAGGGGGCUAGCGUUGCUCGGAAUCACUGGGCGUAAAGCGCACGUAGGCGGCUUUCUAAGUCAGGGGUGAAAUCCUGGAGCUCAACUCCAGAACUGCCUUUGAUACUGGAGAGCUUGAGUCCGGGAGAGGUGAGUGGAACUGCGAGUGUAGAGGUGAAAUUCGUAGAUAUUCGCAAGAACACCAGUGGCGAAGGCGGCUCACUGGCCCGGUACUGACGCUGAGGAGCGAAAGCUAGGGGAGCAAACGGG
rnacentral:rRNA from 1 species